rnacentral:sRNA from 1 species
AGGCUCCGCCCAUACCCCUCCGGGUUAGGCGGCUGUAGCGGAGCUCGAAAAGAGUGGCGCAGGGUCGCGCGGCCCCGCCUCCUUCCCCGCCCAGCGAAGCUCUCUGACCACCCCUCUUUUCUAGAGUUCUGCCUCGCUUCCCGGCGCGGUCGCAGCCCUCAGCCCACUCAGGAUAAUGGCGACAGCUGAGGUACUGAACAUUGGUAAAAAAUUGUAUGAGGGUAAAACAAAAGAAGUCUACGAAUUGUUAGAUAGUCCAGGAAAAGUCCUCCUGCAGUCCAAGGACCAGAUUACAGCAGGAAAUGCAGCUAGAAAAAACCACCUGGAAGGAAAAGCUGCAAUCUCAAAUAAAAUCACCAGUUGUAUUUUUCGGUUAUUACAGGAAGCAGGUAAGCAGCUCCCUCAAAGUCUCUUCUCUCACCUUCUCUGGUAAGCAUGUCGAUGUCUUUCAUGUGAAGUUGGCAUUAAUAUGAACAACUUGUUUGCAGAUGUCUCAAAAGCUAAGUGAAUUUAAAUCAAACCAAGAACCCUUAAACUUCACUAUAACACCUUAUUUG